rnacentral:rRNA from 1 species
GCGUUGUUCGGAAUUACUGGGCGUAAAGCGCACGUAGGCGGCUUUGUAAGUUAGAGGUGAAAGCCCGGAGCUCAACUCCGGAAUUGCCUUUAAGACUGCAUCGCUAGAAUUGUGGAGAGGUCAGUGGAAUUCCGAGUGUAGAGGUGAAAUUCGUAGAUAUUCGGAAGAACACCAGUGGCGAAGGCGACUUACUGGACACAUAUUGACGCUGAGGUGCGAAAGCGUG